GUCCACGCAGUAAACGAUGAUAACUCGCUAUCGGCGAUACACAGUCGGUGGCUAAGCGAAAGCGAUAAGUUAUCCACCUGGGGAGUACGUUCGCAAGAAUGAAACUCAAAGGAAUUGACGGGGGCCCGCACAAGCGGAGGAACAUGUGGUUUAAUUCGAUGAUACGCGAGGAACCUUACCCGGGCUUGAAAGUUAUCGACGAUUCUGGAAACAGGAUUUCCCUUCGGGGCGAGAAACUAGGUGCUGCAUGGUUGUCGU
rnacentral:rRNA from 1 species